UGGGGAAUUUUGGACAAUGGGGGAAACCCUGAUCCAGCCAUCCCGCGUGUGCGAUGAAGGCCUUCGGGUUGUAAAGCACUUUUGGCAGGAAAGAAACGUCAUGGGUUAAUACCCCGUGAAACUGACGGUACCUGCAGAAUAAGCACCGGCUAACUACGUGCCAGCAGCCGCGGUAAUACGUAGGGUGCAAGCGUUAAUCGGAAUUACUGGGCGUAAAGCGUGCGCAGGCGGUUCGGAAAGAAAGAUGUGAAAUCCCAGAGCUUAACUUUGGAACUGCAUUUUUAACUACCGAGCUAGAGUGUGUCAGAGGGAGGUGGAAUUCCGCGUGUAGCAGUGAAAUGCGUAGAUAUGCGGAGGAACACCGAUGGCGAAGGCAGCCUCCUGGGAUAACACUGACGCUCAUGCACGAAAGCGUGGGGAGCAAACA
rnacentral:rRNA from 2 species